AACGGAACAUAUUUCGGACCAAAUUGCAAAGAAAAAUGUUCUACGCAAUGUUCUCAAAGUGUUUGUGACUCUAAAACUGGAAGUUGCAUGGCAUGUAUACCAGGCUUUGAUUGUGACUUUUGCAACAUCUCCUGUAACGGAACACAUUUCGGACCAAAUUGCAAAGAAAAAUGUUCUACUCAAUGUUCUCAAACUGUUUGUGACUCUAAAACUGGAAGUUGCAUGGCAUGUAUACCAGGCUUUGAUGGUGACUUUUGCAACAUCUCCUGUAACGGAACAU
rnacentral:sRNA from 1 species